UACAGAGGGGGCGAGCGUUGUUCGGAAUUACUGGGCGUAAAGGGCGCGUAGGCGGCCCGCUAAGUCGAACGUGAAAUCCCCAGGCUCAACCUGGGAACUGCGUCCGAUACUGGCAGGCUUGAAUCCGGGAGAGGGGUGUGGAAUUCCAGGUGUAGCGGUGAAAUGCGUAGAUAUCUGGAGGAACACCUGUGGUGUAGACGGCUUACUGGACCGCAACUGACGCUGAGACACGAAAGUGUGGGGAUCAAACAGG
rnacentral:rRNA from 1 species